rnacentral:rRNA from 1 species
CUACGUGCCAGCAGCCGCGGUAAUACGUAGGUGGCAAGCGUUGUCCGGAAUUAUUGGGCGUAAAGCGCGCGCAGGCGGAUCAGUCAGUCUGUCUUAAAAGUUCGGGGCUUAACCCCGUGAUGGAAUGGAAACUGCUGAUCUAGAGUAUCGGAGAGGAAAGUGGAAUUCCUAGUGUAGCGGUGAAAUGCGUAGAUAUUAGGAAGAACACCAGUGGCGAAGGCGACUUUCUGGACGAAAACUGACGCUGAGGCGCGAAAGCCAGGGGAGCGAACGGGAUUAGAUACCCCGGUAGUCCUGGCCGUAAACGAUGGGUACUAGGUGUAGGAGGUAUCGACCCCUUCUGUGCCGGAGUUAACGCAAUAAGUACCCCGCCUGGGGAGUACGACCGCAAGGUUGAAACUCAAAGGAAUUGACGGGGGCCCGCACAAGCGGUGGAGUAUGUGGUUUAAUUCGACGCAACGCGAAGAACCUUACCAGGUCUUGACAU